GAUGAACGCUGGCGGCGUGCCUAAUACAUGCAAGUCGAGCGAACAGACGAGGAGCUUGCUCCUCUGACGUUAGCGGCGGACGGGUGAGUAACACGUGGAUAACCUACCUAUAAGACUGGGAUAACUUCGGGAAACCGGGGCUAAUACCGGAUAAUAUAUUGAACCGCAUGGUUCAAUAGUGAAAGACGGUUUUGCUGUCACUAAUAGAUGGAUCCGCGCCGCAUUAGCUAGUUGGUAAGGUAACGGCUUACCAAGGCAACGAUGCGUAGCCGACCUGAGAGGGUGAUCGGCCACACUGGAACUGAGACACGGUCCAGACUCCUACGGGAGGCAGCAGUAGGGAAUCUUCCGCAAAGGGCGAAAGCCUGACGGAGCAACGCCGCGUGAGUGAUGAAGGUCUUCGGAUCGUAAAACUCUGUUAUUAGGGAAGAACAAAUGUGUAAGUAACUAUGCACGUCUUGACGGUACCUAAUCAGAAAGCCACGGCUAACUACGUG
rnacentral:rRNA from 1 species